rfam:Heterocephalus glaber contig211477, whole genome shotgun sequence.
GUCUGUGGCCAUACCAUCCUGUACGUGCCCGAUCUCUUCUGAUCUCGGAAGCUAAGCAGGAUUGGGUCUUUUUAGUAUUUGGAUGGGAGAAUGACUACAUGAAAUGUGUAUUGUCAGGUG